UUUUGAUAUAAGGAGGUAGUGCUGUCCCACUAAGAACUAAACAGGUCAGCGAGUUCUCACCAAUCUGAGUCACUAGUAUGAAGGGCUCUGAGGAAAUAAAAAACUCAUUUACAUAGGCUAAUUUCUUACACUGCCCCGAUGCAGCCUUGUUCCAAACAUUCGCUGUUGUGAUUUACAAGAAAAGAAAAAAAGUAGUAAAUUGGGCACUUUCUUACCCAAACCACUGUAGGUUUAUUUGACAUUUAGUUGUAUUGACUGGAGACUUUUAUAAAUUUCUGGAAAUUGAUGUCAAUAUUUUCAAGUAAUGAAUCACCAGCAAAGAAGAAAAAGCAGAGGUGCUUUAUAACAUGGUAAAUCCCAGUAAGUAAUUCUUGUCUGCAUUUCUUUCUAUAUUGCAGUAUCAAAAAAAUGAGACAUUAAAGGAGGAAGAGAGAAAACGAUCCUAUCAAAACGUAUACCCUAGAGCUCACCAGGAUCCAUGUCACCUGGAACUCAUCAGAAAUGCAGAAUGCCUACCUCCAGAGUUACAAAAUCAAAAUCUGCAUGUUAACAAGCCAAAAUUCUCCUCCCAGAAUUCUGCAAACCACACAUUUCUUCGAUUAUUGGCAAGAGUUCGGCUUCUAAAGUAUCGAUCAAAUCCUAUUUCAAAGGAGAAAGCAUGGAUCAAUGUUCCAGACUUUCCUGUGUUUCCACAUACUUCAAAAUUUCUCCUUCCUAUAUGUUCUGUUUUCAGGUAAUUCAAUAAAGCAAUCAUGUUAAUGUCAUCUUAUGGAGUCAUGAACUCAAGUGUCGGUUUGCUCAGGUAACUACUUUAUUGAAGGGAGACCCCCUGGAAAUAAUGCCUUACUCCAGAGGAUAAUGUUAAGAUGGGAAUUUCAGUCACUGUCAAACCGACUGGAAAAGAUGUUUAGAAGAUAGACUGCCUUUCAGGAUGCUCCAAGUCUUUCCUGUUGCAUUUAUUUAUCCAUAGGAUAAGCCCAGCAUCAUAUAUAUUCAUUUUCUAUAAAUCAAGCAUUUCCCUCCAACAAUGCUAUAACCACCAUAAAUACCCAUGGAAAUACGCAAACUCAAACUCAAAGUGCAAUUACUAACAUAAUGGAAAUAACUGACUAUGGUCUUUUUCUUAAAAAAAUAUAAUGGGUCCUCUUUCCUAAAUACAUACACACACACACACACACACACACACACACACA
rnacentral:lncRNA from 1 species